CAGUAGCCGCGGUAAUACGGAGGGUGCAAGCGUUAAUCGGAAUUACUGGGCGUAAAGCGCACGCAGGCGGUCUGACAAGUCAGAUGUGAAAUCCCCGGGCUUAACCUAGGAACUGCAUUUGAAACUGUCAGGCUGGAGUCUUGUAGAGGGGGGUGGAAUUCCAGGUGUAGCGGUGAAAUGCGUAGAGAUCUGGAGGAAUACCGGUGGCGAAGGCGGCCCCCUGGACAAAGACUGACGCUCAGGUGCGAAAGCGUGGGGAGCAAACAGGAUUAGAUACCCCGGUAGUCCCUGUCUCUUAUAA
rnacentral:rRNA from 1 species